UGUGAUGCGCUGAGCAUGGCUCACACCCAGGGGCCUUGACCCAAGUCCCUUUUUGGUGUUCACUGACAAGUCACUGACUUUCAUAUUGACUUGGACUUAAGGACGAACCUGCUCUCCCAGAGUUAAGUUAUGGGGCCAUCACCUCUGAAGCUUCCAUAGUAUAGUGAGUAGAGAUUGCAUGGUGAAUAGGACAUUCUGAGUCUGCAUCCCACUGACAAUACAGUGAACCUUUGGGGGGCAAAACCAGCUCAUCCCUGCCCCCGUGUGUGUUGCUUGUCACCGGUGUCACCUCCCCGGACUACACUUGUGUUCCUCGGAGUAAAUUGAAGAUGUUUACAUGCUUUUGCUAUAGAGAUUCAAAGUGACCAGUUCAGUAAAAGGAAAAAUUAAGAAAAAUUAAUUAAUUUCUUGGCUAGAGAAUUAGAAAUUGAGAGGGAAGAGGGAGGUAAGAGAGGGAGAAGAGAGACACCUACAGACCUGCCCAUACAGGUGGGAUCCAGGGACAUGAACCUGGGUUCUUGAGCACGCAUCUGCUCUACCAAAUAUGCCACCCUCUGGCCCUGAGAGAAUUUCUACAGUGGACUGGCAGCCUAGUAACAUGAGAAGCACCUGUGAGCCCAGGAACAGGGAGAAACUCAGUGGUGCCGAGUUCUCAUGCUUCCUGGGUUCUGUGCUCUGACCCUACAUUUCGGAGGCUGGGAACUCUGGCUCUUCCCCUUUCUUGGGUCCACCACCCUCACUGGAAGGGGCUCUGCAGGGAACUUGGUUAUUCCCAACCACUUCACCAACUAGCUGUAGCUAGAAAGCUACAGCUGUAGUUGUAUUGUGAUGAGUAAUCAGGGACUGGAUGGAUACAGCCUGUUUAAGUCUGAGAUAUAAUCUGUUUAAUUUCAGAAACUUUCCUCGCGAAAGCCAAACACAGCCCAGGACCUGCCUUGGUUUCUGUGUGGCCUGGGGCUAAAUGAAUGUGGGGGCUUGGAGGGAAGCCUGGGGGACAGUGAGGAGCCCAGCCUGGGACUGAGGAGACAGAGAAGGAGGGCAUCUCAAAGAGAAAGAAGAGUCACAGUUACUGAAUACUGAAAACCAGUAACCCCUCUGAUUUCCUCUCCUUCCUCCUCCAAGUGAUAGCAAUUGAAGGUGUCCAGACCAAAUAUUCACUUUUCACAGGUUAGUGGAGGUGGAGGCCUCCCUGGAACCCUUGGCUGAAGCAAGUCAAGUUUGGAGCUAGAAUCUGACUGAUGCUUUGGUGCCGCUCCUGGGCCAAUGAGUGUAAGUUGCUCUGUGGGCUCCUCUCUCCCCACCCCCAACAUACAUGGAUGCAGUUGAAGUCCGCGUCUAAAUAGGUCCAUUUAAAGUGAGGGAAGAAAGGAGACCUGUUUCAUGGAGCUUUUGUGGUAUCCUAGCAACUGGUUCCCCAGGGCUCGGAGCCAGAGGCUGGAGGAGUCAGAAGUAAUGAAUGAGACUCUCUGAAGUGGACUCUUUCCUCAUUCAGGUGUUUUGGCAAAUAGUCAAACUAUUUUCAAAAUGAGGCUAAAAUGAAAUACUCUCAGUUAUAUUUUUGCACAUUGUCUCUAGUCAUGUGCUGCGUUAUGCAUUUUUUUUUCCUUUCAUAUGGAUGAGGUCAUCAAAGCUAAGAAGAAAUAUGGUCCCAGGCUAAGAUGGCCGCUGUGCAGACUGGUGACUGUGCUGCCUCUCCAGCCUCAGGCCUUCUGGUCUUGCACACAGGCUCUCCCCAGCUUUGUCUUGCUGAGCCUGGCUUACUCUGCUAUCUGCUUGCCUCCUGGAGGUCAGGACGCAUCAGGCUCUGCUUUGUCUAGUGUAACUGUACUCAGAGCAAGCUUGCUGGGGGGGUUAUUCUCUUUAAGUUGUUAAACAGGAAUCUGCACGCUUUUCCCAGUGAAGUGCCCCUGUGACACUGCCCUCAGUCAGCCCAGGGGUGGCCAAGCAGUGACAGGGCCGAUGGCCAAACACCAGGAGUGUGGCCAUGGUCUCAGAACCCCUCCUUGGCCUUCCUUUGGCUUUAGCUGCCUGACUCUGGAGUGACACCAUUUCUCUCCUCGUUUUUUAUGUGUUUGUAUUUCAGUUAGUGUUCAAGUGUCACUACUUAAAAUUCCCUUGAAAAUAGGGACAGAACUUUAUGUAAGCAUCCAUUACCACCAGUUCUUACUCUUCUGAGAUCAGACAAGAUCAGGUGUGUUCAGGGUGGGUACGGCCAUAGGGCCCAGUUCUUUUUUUUUUAUUUAAUUUUUAUAAUUUUUAUUUAUAAAAUGGAAAUAUUGACAGGACCAUAGGAUAAGAGGGGUAUAAUUCCACACAAUUCCCACCAUCAGAACUACAUAUCCCAUCCCUGAUAGCUUUCCUAUUCUUUAUCCCUCUGGGAGUAUGGACCCAAGGUCAUUAUGGGAUGCAGAAGGUGGCAGGUCUGGCUUCUGUAAUUGCUUCCCCACUGAACAUGGGCGUUGGCAGGUCGAUCCAUACUCCCAGCCUGUCUCUCUCUUUAAGAUCAAUUCCUUGUUGCUGAUUCAUUUCACUGAUGCCAUUUGCUGAGUCUCAAUUUGUGACAUAACUUGAAUUUUAGGGGAAGGGUGUCACUGAGAAGGCAUAUCAGAAUUACUUGCCUACAUAAUUUUACCUAGCCUUCCAUGGCAGUUUUGAGUUUGGUAUACAAUGAGUUGUGUUUAUUUAGUCACCCAGGUUAUCAGAACAGCAUGGCUUGGAGUCCUUUGUUAUGCCUCACCCCUGCAGCUUCUCUCCCCACCCCACCCCACCCCAGCUUGGAGAUUCACCUGUGGAGUAGCUUCUGGAGUGAGAGCAGAAGUGGGAGGGCCAAGCCCCAUGUGCCCAGGGCACCCUGGCUUCAAAAACAUGAUGUUGAAACAUAGAUUUUCUUACAGGAAAUUAAUCAAUCUUUCUCUCUUUUUCUAUUUGCAUUUGCUUAGUAUAAUAAAAAAGAAUGGUGUCUCUGGGGUCUGUUUAGUUUUUUUUUUUUUUUUUUUGGCCUCCAGAGUUAUUGCUGGGGCUCCAUGCUCCUGGGGUCAUUGCUACAGUUCCAUUGCUCCUGGAGCCAUUUUUUCCCUUUUGCUGCCCUUAUCGUUUAUUAUUGUUGUUAUUACUGUUGCUGUUGUUAUUGCUGUUGUUGUUGUUGGAUAGGACAGAGAGAAAUUGAGAGAGGAGAACACAGAGAGGGAGAGAGAAAGACAGACACCUGCAGACCUGCUUCACUGCUUAUGAAGCGACCCCCCUGCAGGUGGGGAAGCCAGGGACUUGAAUUGUGAUCCUUAUGCGGGUCCUUAGGAUUAGCACCAUAUGUGUUUAACCCUCUGUGCUACCACUUGGCCCCCAGUAUGCUAACUUUUGAGUUGCUAUACUUAAUUCCCAUUGCUACACUGAGUAUGUAUUUUUUUAAGCACUUGAGAGGAUUGGUUGCCAAAGUUUGGCAGAGAGAACCAUAUUUCAGGUAACCCCGUGUCAUGUCAGUCGUUUUGCCUAAAAUGACCAUAGUUAAAUUUGGCAGUGACAGAGAAGAGUCUGGUCAAAGCCUCAGUGUCCGCAGUCAUUCCAGCCCUGCUACACGUUAUAGUUGCCACUAGGUGUUUAUUCUGAGAUCCUCAUUCUUAGCAUGGUGUAUUGUGUUCUCUGUGUUACUCAUUUUUAUUUUAAAAAAUAUAUUUUUUAUUUAUGUAUUGCAGAGAUAGUGAGAAAUCUAGAGGGAAGGACAAAAGAGAGAAAGAUACUUGCAUCACUGCUUCACCACUCAUGAAGCUUUCUCUCUGCAGGUGGGAACUAGGGGCUUGAAUCUCAUUCCUUGUGCAUUUUGACUUGUGUGUUCACUACUUAGUUUUCUAGAACCAGGAUAUUAAGAAAAAGCUUCAUUGGACAAGUCUUUGAUUCUGUAACAGGUGGUCAUGAGGUCUCUGCUGGGUCUGUAGACAAAUGGCCUUGGAGAGACCAAGUAAGGGGAGAUGGGACCCCACCCCCAGGCUAAUGGAGCGGGGGGGGGGGGGGAGUGUGAAGGGUUAUCUUCUGCGUGCUGUGGGCAGACAGGAUCCACCAGGGAUCAGCACCUCUCUCCCAUUUGUGUCCUCUGAUCUCCCUGAGGGACUUGAGGCAGUUCUGGGCCUGCUCAGACUGGCACGGGCUGCUGGACAAGGGCAGAGGCUGGCAGCCAGGGCAAAGGGUAGGCUUGUGGUGGUUUGACGAAUCAUCUCCCAGAAAACACUUGCUUUCACUGCCACCGCCACCACCUCUGUGCUGAGCAUCUUCUCUGGGAUAGAGAUGAUUGCACCCAGCGCCAAGACUCAGCCCCUGUCCUCCCCAAGGAGCCCACUUCGUCCUGUCCUAUCAGAGGCGGUUUCUGUGAGCUGCCAGGAAAGACUGUGUGGGCACAGACACGUCUUUUCUUGGGGUUAUUUUAGUACCCCAGAAGCAGGUCACAUGCUGUGAGAAGGGCUCAUAGAUGUUUCCACAUGACUGAGCUUCACAUUUAUUUGUAUCUUUGUUUAUUUUGCCUCCAGGACUGUCACUGGGGCUCAGUGCUGGCACUAUGAAUCCACUGUUCCUGGUGGCCAUUUUUUCCAUUUUAUUGGACAGGACAGAGAAAUUAAGAAGGGAGGGGGAGGCAGGGGGGGAUACACAGACACUUGCAGACCUGCUUUACCUCUUGUGCAACUUCCCUCCUACAGGUGGUGCGUAGGGGCUUGAACCCAGAUCCCUGUGC